CAAGUUGAGUGGCGAACGGGUGAGUAACACGUGGGUGACCUACCUUCGAGUGGGGGAUAACGUCCCGAAAGGGACGCUAAUACCGCAUAACAUCCUGCCUUUGAACAGGCGGAGAUCAAAGCCGGGGAUCGCAAGACCUGGCGCUUGAUGAGGGGCCCGCGUCCGAUUAGCUAGUUGGUGGGGUAAAGGCCUACCAAGGCGACGAUCGGUAGCCGGCCUGAGAGGGCGGACGGCCACACUGGGACUGAGACACGGCCCAGACUCCUACGGGAGGCAGCAGUGGGGAAUUGUUCGCAAUGGGCGCAAGCCUGACGACGCAACGCCGCGUGGAGGAUGAAGGUCUUCGGAUUGUAAACUCCUGUUGCCCGGGACGAAUGGCUCCAACCUAAUACGUUGGAGUGUGACGGUACCGGGUGAGGAAGCCCCGGCUAACUCUGUGCCAGCAGCCGCGGUAAUACAGAGGGGGCAAGCGUUG
rnacentral:rRNA from 1 species